rnacentral:rRNA from 1 species
UCGGCUUGAUCCUGGCUCAGGAUGAACGCUAGCGGGAGGCUUAACACAUGCAAGUCGAGGGGCAGCAUUCACUUCGGUGAGAUGGCGACCGGCGGACGGGUGCGUAACGCGUAUGCAACCUGCCUUAUACAGGGGGAUAGCCCAUGGAAACGUGGAUUAAUACCUUAUGGUACUAUAAAACUGCAUAGUUUAAUAGUUAAAACUCCGGUGGUAUAAGAUGGGCAUGCGUCUGAUUAGCUAGAUGGUAAGGCAACGGCUUACCAUGGCGACGAUCAGUAGGGGUCCUGAGAGGGUUACCCCCCACACCGGUACUGAGACACGGACCAGACUCCUACGGGAGGCAGCAGUGAGGAAUAUUGGUCAAUGGGCGGAAGCCUGAACCAGCCAUCCCGCGUGCAGGAUGACGGCCCUAUGGGUUGUAAACUGCUUUUCUGCGCCAAGAAACCUUGCUACGAGUAGCAAGUUGACGGUAGCGCAGGAAUAAGGACCGGCUAACUCCGUGCCAGCAGCCGCGGUAAUACGGAGGGUCCAAGCGUUAUCCGGAUUUAUUGGGUUUAAAGGGUGCGCAGGCGGGGGUGCAAGUCAGUGGUGAAAUGUUGCCGCUCAACGGUAAAAUUGCCAUUGAUACUGCACCUCUUGAGUAUGGUUGAGGUAGGCGGAAUGUGUUGUGUAGCGGUGAAAUGCAUAGAUAUGACACAGAACACCGAUUGCGAAGGCAGCUUACUAAGCCAUUACUGACGCUGAGGCACGAAAGCGUGGGGAGCGAACAGGAUUAGAUACCCUGGUAGUCCACGCCGUAAACGAUGUUCACUCGCUGUUUGCGAUACACAGCAAGCGGCUAAGCGAAAGCAUUAAGUGAACCACCUGGGGAGUACGAUCGCAAGGUUGAAACUCAAAGGAAUUGACGGGGGCCCGCACAAGCGGAGGAACAUGUGGUUUAAUUCGAUGAUACGCGAGGAACCUU